UACGGAGGGUGCAAGCGUUGCUCGGAAUCACUGGGCUUAAAGGGCGCGUAGGCGGCAUAUCAAGUCAGGGGUGAAAUCCGGCAGCUCAACUGUCGAAGUGCCUUUGAUACUGAUAUGCUAGAGGGAGGUAGGGGUGUGUGGAACUUCCGGUGGAGCGGUGAAAUGCGUUGAUAUCGGAAGGAACGCCGGUGGCGAAAGCGACACACUGGAUCUCAUCUGACGCUGAGGCGCGAAAGCUAGGGGAGCAAACGGG
rnacentral:rRNA from 1 species